UCCUUUCAGACAACUGCUGCAGAUGACACC
rnacentral:piRNA from 1 species